UUAAAAUUAAAAAGUAACAUGAUAAUAAUUAAGAAAGGGGAUAAUAGAAAAGGAAACAAAAGAACUAGUGUAGUAGAACGAGAAUUGCAAAGAAAAUUGCAGCAUGAAACAUAGCAGAAACGAGAACGCUCAAAGCGUCCUUCAAGCGGGAUUUUUCAAAUAAGUGAUUUUCAACCAAACGUGAUUCUAAAGCUCACAGUUCUGUGACUGAUUUCUCACGCAACAAAUGGAAUUCUAUCGUGAUUUCCAACAGUUUCGAAAUUCGACAAUUACUUCGGUUCAACAUUCAGGUGUUUCAAUUUAGAUUCGUUAUCAACUCAGAGUUCAUUUAGGUUCCGCUUCAGAUUUUGGUUCAGUUGGGUUUUGGUUUCGAAGUUACAAUUUUAUUUUGUUCUGGUUUAUAUUGGUUCAAAAUUGUUUAGAUUGUAUUCAACUCAGAUUUUGGUUUAGAGUUUUCGACUCAUAAUCGGUUGCACACAAAGUGUUCGACAAAAAUUCUGAACCAAGUUUUGCUUCUUAUUUUUUCCUUUCUCUUUCUAUUGGGAAUGAUUUUCCUUGCAAUGCUUGUUUACGGUUAAACUGUUUUGGAUUUGGGUUUGAUUCCUCUAAUGGUUAUGAUUUUUCAAUCGGGUUUUGAUUUGGUAUUGGUUAGGGUUGCGAUAAGAAUUCUUGGUGACGUUUCUUGAUGAAUUAUUGAUGAAGGUUGAAAUUGGUGAUGAGAGGGGUCAAGUUUUGGUAUUGACAAGAUGCUGAAUUUUUUAUGGUUUAUGUUCAUGGCAAGGCUUAGAUUCUCGGGGUAAUCGUCCACACAAGAUGAAAAGUAAGACAAAUAAAUAAACAAGCAUACAAAGGUGACUCAACACAAGAAGUUAUGGAGUGAUAAAUAAAGCUUGAGGCUUACCGAUCGAAGACCCUCCGAUGUUUCUUCAAUGGUGAUGCAAAUUCAAUAUGCAUGAACAAGCAUGAUCAAGAGUGGAGUAUGAAUGAAGACUAUUGAAGAGCUUGGAAUUACUUUUAUUCUUUUGUGUAUGGAAAUCAUGUAAUAUGCUUGUAAUAAAAUAAAGUGAAGUCAUGUGAAUGUAAAGAUAAUAUUUAGUGACUUUUGAACCUUAUAUACAUAGAUUCAAAGACCAUAAAUAAAAAGGGAGUUAUGACUCAA